rnacentral:rRNA from 1 species
AUUCCUACGGGAGGCAGCAGUGAGGAAUAUUGGACAAUGGAUGGAAAUCUGAUCCAGCCAUGCCGCGUGCAGGAAGACGGCCCUAUGGGUUGUAAACUGCUUUUGUAUGGGAGCAAUAAGGUCUAUGCGUAGACUGAUGAGAGUACCAUACGAAUAAGCAUCGGCUAACUCCGUGCCAGCAGCCGCGGUAAUACGGGGGAUGCAAGCGUUAUCCGGAUUUAUUGGGUUUAAAGGGUGCGUAGGCGGUUUGAUAAGUCAGCGGUGAAAUAUUUCAGCUUAACUGAAAGGGUGCCGUUGAUACUGUCAGGCUUGAAUAUGGUUGCUGUGGGUGGAAUGUGUGGUGUAGCGGUGAAAUGCUUAGAUAUCACACAGAAUAUCGAUUGCGAAGGCAGCUCACAAAGCCAUUAUUGACGCUGAUGCACGAAAGUGUGGGGAUCAAACAGGAUUAGAUACCCUGGUAGUCCACACUGUAAACGAUGAUAACUCGCUGUCGGCGAUACACAGUCGGUAGCCAAGCGAAAGCGAUAAGUUAUCCACCUGGGGAGUACGACCGCAAGGUUGAAACUCAAAGGAAUUGACGGGGGCCCGCAUAAGCGGAGGAACAUGUGGUUUAAUUCGAUGAUACGCGAGGAACCUUACCCGGGCUCGAACGGUGCAGGAAUACGUCAGAGAUGAUGUAGCUAGCAAUAGUCUGUAUCGAGGUGCUGCAUGGUUGUCGUCAGCUCGUGCCGUGAGGUGUCGGCUUAAAUGCCAUAACGAGCGCAACCCUUGUCGUUAGUUGCCAUCAGGUAAUGCUGGGAACUCUAGCGAGACUGCCACCGUAAGGUGUGAGGAAGGGGGGGAUGACGUCAAAUCAGCACGGCCCUUACGUCCGGGGCGACACACGUGUUACAAUGGUAGGUACAGAGGGCAGCUACCCAGCAAUGGGGUGCGAAUCUCAAAAGCCUAUCUCAGUUCGGAUCGGAGUCUGCAACUCGACUCCGUGAAGUUGGAUUCGCUAGUAAUCGCGCAUCAGCCAUGGCGCGGUGAAUACGUUCCCGGGCCUUGUACACACCGCC